GCUACAGACAGAAGGAGAAAGGGAUUUCCUACAUCUCUAAGUGAAGAUGUGAAGAAGCCAAGAUGGCCUUACUUAUAAGAUAAUUUGGCCUUGAAAUGGAAACCCUGUCACAUGAACUCCGGCUUUGCACAGUCCAGGAAAAUAGGCUACUGAGAUAUCCUCUGCAAACUACAAACACGCUCUUGCAUGUGCACGAUGACACACAUAUGUGCACUCAAGUGACACUUGGGAAAGAAAAUGGCUGGCAUGAAGGCUGAGCAGUAGAAGCGGAAUAAAAGCCCCAGACAUACUGAAGAAAGCUCCCAGAGGCAGGCUGCCUCAUCAGUAAAACACUUGUCAUUUCCUCACUGCAAUACUGAAUUGCUCCACUGUUCUUACGAGAUUGCAUAUUCAUAGAAUAGACUCUUCCGUUGGAAAUAUUGCUGCUCCAUCCAUGCAGAAUAACUGAUGGUGAUUUCCUGCCUUUCGAAAUCCUGGUUCUGUGUUCAUGCUUCUGGUCUCACUCCUGGCUUCUCUCUCACCUGCCUAUGAACCCCAUCCUUCCCUCCUCCAGUCUGACCCCCUCCUCCAGCCCCCCUCACGCCACCUGCUGUCCCCAUCUCCACACAUGCCCCACUGUAGGUAGGAUGGGUUCACAUAUGGGACAGAGCUUCGCUGGUGGCCUCUGGCCAGGAUUCCAUUUUAAAAGAGUUCCCUCCAAACCUUGAU